GCACCUGUAGCUCAACUGGAUAGAGCACUUCUUUGCGGAAGAAGAGGUUAGAGGUUCAAGUCCUCUCUGGUGCA
rnacentral:tRNA from 1 species